AACAAUAUUUUAGAUGUGUUACGAGAGAGGAGGGAGAAGUUAUGGCUCGGGAAUACAGUGCAAUUUUCUUUGAAACAAGUUCGAAAGAUGGGAUGAAUAUUGCAGACAGUUUAGUUCUACUAGCCAGGGAAAUGUGUAGCAACGAGGAUGUCGAAGUGCAAACAAGUGCGCUUAAGCUCAGAGAAAUUGAAACCAAGUCUAACUGCUGUGCGCCUAAGCGCAGAAUAUCCGUGCACAGAUAAACUGUGUGCUUGUCAGAAGUUAAUAUUUCUCUUAGAAUCUCUAGUAAAGAAACUGCAGAGGUCAUUGCAAUUUCAAAUGACCUAUCAACGCUGAUUCAACAGUUUAGUCAACAUUUUGACUUUCUAUCAAAACAUUUAAAAUUUAAUCCAAUUUUUUUGCCUUUUCUAUUUUAUACAUUUUUGUAGGCGGAAGGCCAAACAUGAUUAAAUUCAAAUUUCAAAUUGAGGAAACCAACCUUAUCUUGAAAUUCGUAAAUUGGCAAUGUAUGUCCGAUUUACAAUGGUACCCUUUGUCUGAUCAUCGACGACAGAGAUGUCAGUUCACUGUAAAAUUCAAGAUUGUAUAUUUUAUUCAAAAUCGUGUGAUCAAGCAAUCACAUAUUUUUGAAUAAAUUAUAUCAAAAUUUUAAAUUA